rnacentral:rRNA from 1 species
AGUGAACGCUGGCGGCAGGCCUAAUACAUGCAAGUCGAACGGCAGCACAGUAAGAGUUCGCCUCUACGGGUGGCGAGUGGCGGACGGGUGAGGAAUACAUCACAAUCCUCUUAUUCGUGGGGGACUUCGUAGGGCAACUUAUGCUAACACCUCAUAUGAUCUACGGGUGAAUUCAGUGGUUCAUCGCACUUUUCGUGAUUCAUUGAGAUGAUGUCGGAUUAGCUAGUUGGGAAGGUAAAGGCACACCAAGGCAACGAUACGUAGCCGAUCUGAGAGGGUGAUCGGCCACACUGGAACUGAGACACGGUCCAGACUCCUACGGGAGGCAGCAGUAGGGAAUCUUCGGCAAUGGGCGAAAGCCUGACGGAGCAAUGCCGCGUGAGUGAUGAAGGUCUUCGGAUUGUAAAACUCUUUUAUUAGGGAAGAACAACUGUGGAAGAAACCACGGAUGUUCUGACGGUACCCAAACAGAAAGCACCGGCUAACUACGUG